GAUUCAUGAAUUGGGACAGCCUUUGUCGCCGCGCUGUAACGUAAUCGGCCUACAAAUACGGCCUUCGAAGCAGCGCCGUAGAAAGAGAGAGUUACGACACUCCCAUUGACUUCUAUAGAAAGAAUGGAAUGCGGAAGUCACGUGGUUCAUGGAGCUGCUAAUAGUUCCAAACACCAGCAGCUCCAGCAUUGAACGUAGUUCAUUCUCGGUGCUUCGUAAGGAUUUUUUACGGUAAACCACACGAAAAUGGCUUAAGUGAACUGCUGAACCUUUUUGCAUACAAAGCACCACAAAGAGUAUCCAUGGCAUUUGGGAGCUCCAUGACAGAUUUAUUGGACCUUGUUCUGAAAAGCUUUUCAACUUUCUGGACCAGACUGAAGGCUUCAUGUGAUGGCCGACACAGCACCCCUGGUUUGAAUUCCUUCAGUAUCCAUAGGGUACUGUGCUCUCCUUCCAAAGUGUCAUCAUUUUGCUUAAUUGAACUUGAGCAUCCAUCACAGAUGUUGGAAUGUUUGAUGACUUUAUUCACAAUGUAUCCUGUAAGAUGGUACAGAAUACAUGUUUCGCUGUUGGUGAGGUCAGGAGUAUCUGUGUCUCCAAUCAGCUGCUCCACACGAAGGCCAGGACUGGGAAAUGUCUCCUUAAUGUCCAGGAACUCUGCCAGAAGACUGCCGCCAUCCUCCUGAUAGCUUUCUGAUUUUACAGUUGUAAGAAACUGCCCAACUGAGAUUGAUCUCAGUGCCUGGUGAAACUUGACUGGUGUUGGGACUGGAUUCCUUUACCUUAUGCAGCUGAACGAGCUUUCAAGGCAGU